AUGAACGCUGGCGGCGUGCCUCAUACAUGCAAGUCGAGCGAACAGACGAGGAGCUUGCUCCUCUGACGUUAGCGGCGGACGGGUGAGUAACACGUGGAUAACCUACCUAUAAGACUGGGAUAACUUCGGGAAACCGGAGCUAAUACCGGAUAAUAUAUUGAACCGCAUGGUUCAAUAGUGAAAGACGGUUUUGCUGUCACUUAUAGAUGGAUCCGCGCCGCAUUAGCUAGUUGGUAAGGUAACGGCUUACCAAGGCAACGAUGCGUAGCCGACCUGAGAGGGUGAUCGGCCACACUGGAACUGAGACACGGUCCAGACUCCUACGGGAGGCAGCAGUAGGGAAUCUUCCGCAAUGGGCGAAAGCUUGACGGAGCAACGCCGCGUGAGUGGUGAAGGUCUUCGGAUCGUAAAACUCUGUUAUUAGGGAAGAACAAAUGUGUAAGUAACUAUGCACGUCUUGACGGUACCUAAUCAGAAAGCCACGGCUAACUACGUG
rnacentral:rRNA from 1 species